CUGAGGGGCAAGUAUCACUUCCUUGGUGGGAGCUCAAUCCUCCCAGGAAGUCGAUCCUGGGCCUACACUCUGACCGACGCCUGGGUUGAAGCCUUAGAAACUUCCCAAAGCGACAUUUUUGUAUUCACCCAAGCUCAGAGAAUGUUUGGAAAAUGUUUUAAUAUAAAGUAUGAAAUGGCCAUUGAAAACGGUGCCCUUGUGAUGAAGCAACCAGAACACUCAUUUUACCUGAAGCAUGAAUACAUGUUGACCGACUGCCCAGACUGUGUGACUCUGUAUGAAACAGCCAUCUCUGGGAACGUCACAUUCUACAGCCUGUUGUUCAGUAAAAGCAGGACUGUGCCUGAUUCAGCGCUGGAGAUGCUAAAGAAGCAAGCAGAGUGUCUGAAGAUGCCUUCAGUCAUCAUGUUGAACAAACAUUCUGAAGCGUGCCCGGACGACCCUGCACCCAUGGAUGGCACUGAGGCUUUUAGAUAUGUUAUGGAGGCAAAGACGGUACAUGUGUUUGGCAGAAUCAUGGACACUAUUUUUGAUCUGUUUGUGAACUGACUGAGUGACUUGAUGUUACUCCACUGCAACUUAUGUGAAUAAAGUAUGCAGGCGUUUGCCGUACCUUUUAGUGUUACAAAGCACAUGAAAAACUGGGACGCUUAGCCCGAUCACUCAAGACUUCCUAUUCACUGGGGUGGUCCUGUGGGGGCACAGACUGCUUUCGCAAGGCACUGUAUAUACAGUGCCCUUUGAAAGUACUUAUACACCUUGAACUUUUGCACAUUUUGUCAUGUUUACAACCAUAAACCAGAUUUUAUUUUGAUUUUUUUACUGAAGGUUCACACGUAACAGACAACUGUGAGGUGAAAGCAAAAUGAUACAUGAUUCUGUUAUUUUUCAAAAAAUAGAAAAGUGAAAAGUGGGGCGUGCACAAGUAUUCAUACAGCAUGACUUAAUACUUUGUGGAACCCCCUUUUGCUGCAAUAACAGCAGCAAGUCUUUUGGGGUAUGACUCUACAAGGUUUGCACAUCUAGAGACUGACAUUUUAGCCCAUUCCUCUUUACAAAACAACUCAAGCUCUGUCAAAUUAGAAGGAGAGCGUUUGUGAACAGCAGUUUUCAGGUCUUUCCACAGAUUUUCAAUAGGAUUUAGGUCAGGACUUUGACUGGGCCAUUCUAACACAUUAAUAUGUUUGUUUUUAAACCAUUCCAUUGUAGAUUUAGCUUUGUGUUUAGGGUCAUUGUCCUGCUGGAAGGUGAAUCUCCGCCCCAGCCUCAAUUCUCUUGUUGACUCCAGCAGGUUUUCCUCCAAAAUGUCUCUGUAUUUGGCUCCAUCCAUCUUCCCAACUAUUCUUACAAUCUUCUCCGUCCCUGCUGAGGAAAAGCAGCCCCAUAGCAUGAUGCUCCCCCACCAUAUUUGACACUGGGGAUGGUGCACUCACGACGAUGAGCAGUGUUAGGUUUGUGCCAUACAUAACGUUUUGCAUUUGGGCCAAAAAGUUAAAUUUUUGUCUCAUCUGACCAAAGCACCUUCUUCCACAUGGUAGCUGUGUCCUCCAUAUGACUUCUAGCAAACUUCAAACGGAAUUUCUUAUGGCCUCCUUUCAAUAAUGGCUUUCUUCUUGCCACUCGUCCAUGAAGGCCA
ensembl:lncRNA